UACGUAGGGUGCAAGCGUUGUCCGGAAUUAUUGGGCGUAAAGAGCUCGUAGGCGGUUUGUCACGUCUGCUGUGAAAACUCGGGGCUCAACCCCGAGCCUGCAGUGGAUACGGGCUAGCUAGAGUGCGGUAGGGGAGACUGGAAUUCCUGGUGUAGCGGUGAAAUGCGCAGAUAUCAGGAGGAACACCGGUGGCGAAGGCGGGUCUCUGGACCGAUACUGACGCUGAGGAGCGAAAGCGUGGGGAGCGAACAGG
rnacentral:rRNA from 1 species